AAUAGUAAAACUGUCACCAAUGAAAAUGCUUCUGCUUCUGCUUUUGCUGCUUUUUCUCCUGUUUCUUCUUCUUCAUCUUCUCCUUCAAUUGUAAAGGAGAAGGAUGAUCCGACUACUAGUAUGCAAAGGAU
rnacentral:ribozyme from 1 species